rnacentral:misc_RNA from 1 species
GAUGAAGAACGCAGCGAAAUGCGAUAAGUAAUGUGAAUUGCAGAAUUCAGUGAAUCAUCGAAUCUUUGAACGCACAUUGCGCCCGCUAGUAUUCUGGCGGGCAUGCCUGUCCGAGCGUCAUUUCAACCCUCAAGCCCCCGGGCUUGGUGUUGGGGAUCGGCGAGCCUCCGCGCCCGCCGUCCCCUAAAUCUAGUGGCGGUCUCGCUGUAGCUUCCUCUGCGUAGUAGCACACCUCGCACUGGGAAACAGCGCGGCCACGCCGUUAAACCCCCAACUUCUGAACGUUUGACCACGGAUCAGGUAGGAAUACCCGCUGAACUUAAGCAUAUCAAUAAGCGGAGGA